rnacentral:lncRNA from 1 species
UUUUUUUUUUUUAAUUUUAGGGCUGCACCUGCAGCAUGUAGAUGUUCCAGGGCCAGGGAUUGAAUCUUUAUGGCAACGCCGGAUCCUUUAACCCACUGCACCGGGCUGGGGAUCAAACCUGUGCCUUCACAGGGACCCAAGCCUCUGCGGUUGGGUUCCUAACCCCCUGCGCCGCAGCAAGAACUCCAUUCUCUGAGGAAUCUUAAAAAACAAACAAACGAGUCAUAGAUGAAGAGAUUCGAUGGAUGGUGGCCACUGAGGGUGGAGUGGAGCAAGUGUGAAAAUGGGCAGAGGGGACCCACCUCCGGUUUGAAGAGGCAUCGGUUCUGGGCAUCCACUGUACAGCAGGGUGACCGCAGAUAUAACAAUAAUGUAUUAUUUCCCUGAAAUUUGCUAAGACCCAUCUUGAGCGUUCUCGCCACACACACACACACACACACACACACACACAGAAAAGCUAAAGAUGUGAACUGAUGGGUGUGCACACUGACACACCCUGGGGUGAGCACGUCACAGUGUCCGUGGAUCAAACCAUCCCUGUGUACCCUUGAAAGUGAUACAAUGUGUCAAUGAUACUUCAAUACAUCUGGAGAAUAAACUUCCAAAAAAAAAAGGGGGGGGGAUAGAAACAGCUCCCCCAAGACGAGGAGAGGACCCAAGAGUCCAGGAGUCGGUGAUGGGACUGAAAAAAAAAAAUCUACAGCCCAGUCAUAGCUUUGGUUUCCCCUUCCAGAGGAAAGGGUUAGGGUUAGGGUUAGGUUUAGGGGCAUGGCAUGGGUAGUCAGGGAAUGGGUCUGUUUUCUCCUCUAUAGAAACAACAGGCUCCCAGUGGACCUGCAGUAAUCUCCCUUCUAAGCAUGUGCUAAAGCUUAGGGAGUGUGAAGGACUCCCAAUCAGAAGGGCCGUCAUCAAAAAGCCUACAGCUAACAAGUGCUGGAGGAGUCCCCGUCGUGGCUCAGUGGUUAUUGAAUCUAGGAACCAUGAGGUUAAGGGUUCGAUCCCUGGCCUCUCUCGCGGGUUAAGGUCUCUUCGGGUACAAAAUGAUGGAAGAGAACAUGAAAAAAAAAAGAAUGUAUGGAAAAAAAGGAACCCGAUUACACUGUUGGUGGGAUUGUACAUUGGUGCAAC